rnacentral:rRNA from 1 species
UACGUAGGGUGCGAGCGUUGUCCGGAAUUAUUGGGCGUAAAGAGCUCGUAGGUGGUGUGUCACGUCGAUCGUGAAAACUUGGGGCUUAACUCUGAGCUUGCGGUCGAUACGGGCAUCACUGGAGUUCGGCAGGGGAGACUGGAAUUCCUGGUGUAGCGGUGAAAUGCGCAGAUAUCAGGAGGAACACCGGUGGCGAAGGCGGGUCUCUGGGCAGUAACUGACGCUGAGGAGCGAAAGCGUGGGGAGCGAACAGG